GAAGAACAUAGGCAUUGUGACCUAACAUUAGGCUACUAUUGACUUUCAGAUGAUACACAGAAAAAGGAUCAUCUGCCUUCAGACUGUGGUUGACUGUGGGUAGCUGAAACCACAGAAAGUGAAACCAUGAAUAAAAGGGGACAACAAUACAUUCUCUGGUCAGUAUCAACUUUGAAAUAGAUUGUAAUUGGACUUGAAACAAUGAAAACAAAGGAUUCCUCAGUAACAACCCAGGACACAUAUGUGAGAUAAUAUUUACAUCUUUCUGGAUAAAUUCAGAGGCAUCUAGAGCUAUAGGACAGACAGGUCCAGUGGAAGAUGAAUGCAGAGGCUACGAGCAAGAGCAAGAAGGGAGACUAUUUUCAAAUGUGGUCAAACAAAUUCCCUGAGUGGAAUUCAGGUAGCUUCCUUAGUAGAAGAUGAUUUCCUGAUCUUCAUUCAGAGAAGCCUUAUUUCUAGCAGGAGUCUCAGACUGUGCGGGGCCUGUACUACAGCAGUAGAUCUCUCCAUCAUAUUCUGACCCAGGUUACCGACCCACCAGGUGAACCAGCUCCUUCCUAUCACUACCAUGUCUACGGUCAGUCCAAACUCCUUGCAUUUUCCCAGAUACCAGAUACAUCACAGUCAUUUGGGUCUUGGUGCUUAGCGU
rnacentral:lncRNA from 1 species